AGAGCAGGACCUGGCUUGGGAAGCUUCAGAGGGAAGCAAAGAUUCUGCCAGGACUUCUGUGUGAAGAAUCUGUGGCUAUCUGGUCAGCAGGAGCUGAAGAUUCAGCUGUGAUUAACAAGAGAUCAGAAGCACUCAAGUGAAACCUUUGCUUUGCUGGGAUAGUAGAUGCUGGUCAGCUGGGGUGGAAGAAUCAGCUAUGACUAAGAAGAGACCAGCAUCCUUGAGGGGAAAUCUUCAGGGAAGUGUUUCCUCAAGGCCAGCACUUGUGAGCUGUGUUUAGAGGUGGUUAGGGUUGUAUCGUGUGCUGGCGGACAAACUCGGUCAUGUGUAAGAGUUUCCCAGAUGGUACCGGUUUUGAAGGCAUGGAGGAGUCUUGAGAGAAACUGACACCUGGCACCGUGAGAGGCCAGGAGAGGCCAUUGGUGAAGGUGCAGCCUCAGUGGCAGUUGAGGCCCCAGGACUGAAGGGGUCAUGGGGAGAAGCUGAGGCUUAGCACCAUGAAGGGAGCCCGUGAGAGGCUAUCGGUGAAAGGGCAGCCCAGUUGUGGCAGAAAACCCCAGCGUUUGUAGAUACCAGUACCACGGACGACCACCAAGAACAGAAGAUGUGGAGCGGAAUGAGCUGGAGCCUGGAAGACAAACUGUGCGUGCUACAGAAGUUGGAGCUGGAAGUAACAUCAGCUCCUUGGAGGAGCCCAGAAGCUCAUGAGUGAAUCGCAGAUAUUGGACAUUGAAUUAUUUCACGGUUGGAGUGUGAUUUUGCAUUGUUCAGGUUGUGACUAUGUCCUGGUUCCUCCCUCUUGAAGUCAGAAAGUACUUAGCUUAUUUUUGAUUUUACAGGAGUCUGUAGUUGAGAGACUUUGAAUUUUUAAAAGAGGUGUUGUAUUUAAAAGAAAAUUUGGAUUUUUAGAGAAACAACUUUUAAAGGGUUUUAACUGGUGAAGAUUGUGAGACUUUCAGGUUUGUAAUAUACUUUAUAUUUCUGAUAUUUACCAGUCUGAAAAUUUGAGGAUGAAUUAAAGAAAUGAAAGGUUAUUAUCUUAGGAAGUGUGUCAAGCUGACAAGGCAGUAAUUGUGUUGGCUAAUUUAAUGUCAGCUUGACCCAGGCUAGAGUCAUCCGAGGGUGGGGAACCCCAAUCGAAAGAAUUGGGGUUCCGUAAGAUCAGGCUGUAGGGAAACUUGUAGGACAUUUUCUUCAUUAGUGAUUGGUUUGGGAGGGUUCGGCCAUUGUGGGUACAGCUACCCCUGGGCUGAGCAAGCCACGAGGAGCAAGUCAGUAAGCCGCACCCCUCUACAGCCUCUGCAGCAGCUACUGUCUCCAUGUUCUUACCCUGUCUGAGUUUCUGCCCUGACUUCCUGCAGUGAUGGACUACGGCAUGGAAGUGCAAGUCAAAUAAACUCUUUCCCCUCUAAUUUGCUUUUGAUCAUGGUGUUUCAUCAUAGCAAUAGUAACCCAAACUAAGACAGUUUUUGAUACUCAAAUAUGAACAAUGACAUUCUUAAUCUUAGCGAGGUCCUGCUUACAAAGAAUUUACUGUGGGCCUGAAAUGUGUGUCUUCUGGUAGAUGACAUUAACUCCUCAAAAUGCCUUCCAAGCAGGUGCAUGGCCACUCCUGCAGGGCUGGAUGAAGGUAGUUCGUUCAUGCCGAGGACCGUGGCACUGGGUAGCACUGCCUCCCAGGCAGCGAGAAGGUUGUGGUUCUCCAGGGAGCAUUUCACUAGACUUCAGCUUAAAUGUUGUUUAUACAUGGCCAUUGAUUUCCUUUUCUAAGAACUGCCAAUCCCAUGGAAUUAGCCACACCUGCUAGGCAACUCCCACCCCGUAGCUCAACCGGGUGGCCAGCGCAAGCUCUGGCUCCUGUCGUGAGAGCAAUAGCCAUUCUGCAUGGGAACUAGCUAGAAAUUAAAACCCCUGGCCCCACACUUGCUGGAGCUUGGAUGCCAGUCAAAAGUGUAAGAACCUCAGUUCUACUUUAAUAGAUGAGAAAUAUUUCCUUUAUUUCCCCCACGGUAUACUUUUAUAACCCUCCUUACCCAUGUAACAUUUCCUGUCAUGAACUGAUGCUCUAAAUGCUCUAGGAAGCUGCCCUGUUGACGAGAGCUCCCCUGACUGGUGAUGUGUUGGUAAAGGCUUAGCCACAGGCUAGGGAGGAGGAGAGCUUGAUGUGUGGUCCUUCCUGCGCAAACUCUGUAACAUGGACACUUUGUCUGAGUAACUUUCAGGAUAUCGGUAACUUGGAAUCAGAAGACAGCUGACUGCAGCAGCCUAUGGAAAGACGGCGACAAGAAUUCUGAAGGUGAUUCAGACACUCCACGGUUAUCCUUUGAGAUUUCAAAAAAUGCUUUAAAUUGGUUUAUUUGAAAUGACACCCACCGGAUUCCAACCUAACAGCAGCUUGGAGCCUUUCCUAUUCGUGCUCAGUCGUCAUGACAGCUUGGCCAUUGAGAUAUGAGAAUACCUAGAACUUCCUCCAAAGGUGCUAUACUCUGGGAAAUGGAGUUUUGGGACUCAAAGCCAUUAAAUGUCUAAAUUAAGAGUGGUUUAGUCAGUGAUCUUAGUAAAGACUGACACGCCUAUGAUAGAGCUAUCUUGCUGGCUAAUUUUGUGCUACCAGAUACUGGAGUGAGUCAACACGCCGUGGGAUUCCGCGGAGACAUUUGAAAUGUGAUGAGAGCUUUCCUUUCCUCGAGAAUGAGGAAGGGCCAUCAUGUAGGCUUUCCAACCUGACAAUAAGUGGCUUUUCAAUUUGAGAUUGUUUAUUAAAGGAAAGAUGAUCACUUAACUCUGAGAAAGACGUCUGGAAAAGUGAGCCUCGAACAGAAGUAAAUAGAACUUGUCUCCACAAGAAGGCCUCAAGAGAAACGUAACAAUCUGCACAAAAGAUCGCAUUAAAAUAUUAACCAAUUAUCCUGGUCUAA